CCUACGGGCGGCAGCAGUGGGGAAUAUUGGGCAAUGGGCGCAAGCCUGACCCAGCAACGCCGCGUGAAGGAAGAAGGCUUUCGGGUUGUAAACUUCUUUUCUGAGGGACGAAGAAAGCGAUGGUACCUCAGGAAUAAGCCACGGCUAACUACGUGCCAGCAGCCGCGGUAAUACGUAGGUGGCAAGCGUUAUCCGGAUGUAGUGGGUGUAAAGGGCGUGUAGGCGGGAAAGCAAGUAAGAUGUGAAAACGCAGGGCUCAACCCUGAGCCUGCAUUUGAAACUGUUUUUCUUGAGUGCUGGAGAGGCAAUCGGAAUUCCGUGGGUAGCGGUGAAAUGCGUAGAUAUACGGAGGAACACCAGUGGCGAAGGCGGAUUGCUGGACAGUAACUGACGCUGAGGCGCGAAAGCGUGGGGAGCAAACAGGAUUAGAUACCCUUGUAGUC
rnacentral:rRNA from 1 species